CUACCUAACAGGCACUUAACCGUCUCACUCACUCCUACCUAAAAAACGACAAGUCGUUUUACCGGACAGUCCAUCAGCUUCUACCGUGCCGUUUGUCCGCAGAAGUAGUCGUCCACGUCUCAAACUCUUCAGUCUUCUUCCUUCCAAUCUUCCCAGGUUGGUAUGGCGACCUACAAGCUCGCUGUGAUCAUCAACAACCCUCUCAAUGACGCCGAAUUCCUCCUCGUGAGACAGACGCGCCCGCCCAAGUUCAGCGACGACGAGUACGACUCCUACGUCGAUUCUGAUCUCUGGGACUUGCCAUGGACGCCAUUGAACCUUGUAGAUGGAGAAAACGAGUCUACCGUAGAGGUCAAGGGUGCAGAAUCGUUCUCGGAGAAGAUUGAAUUGAGAAAUUUCGAUAUUAAUUUGGCUCUCAAUAGGAUUAAAGAUCAAGUGGUGUUUGGCGCAGCCGAAUUGGGAGAUUGGAAGCUCCGGAAGUACGUGGAGGAAGCUGAGUUUGGACCAGCGCCGCUUGUUCAGACUGUGUUCGUCGACGGAAAUUUAGUAGCUGGCGGUGAACAUUUGCAAGAGUCAUGCAAGUGGAUGUCUAUCCAAAGUUGUUUGAACUGGCUUGUGGAAGUGACUCCAAGUAACGACCGCGUUGGGCCAUUGGCAGUUACCGGUCUUCUAAAUGAUUCCUCGCCUUCUAGACCAUGGAAAGUCCCACAUCAAUUAAAUUAUCAGGAAUACCCUCCUGGUGUUACUCUAGUACCUAUGCAAAGUAGGACAGGAAAGCCUUUUUCUACAACGAACUUGAUUGUAUUUGCACCUGAUUGCCCUUCAUACUACAGUGAGGAUAUUAGUUUUGUUGCUAGUGGGGAUGCAAUGAUAGUUGAUCCAGGUUGUCACUCUUACCUCCACGAAGAGCUCAAGAAUAUUGUUGCUUCUCUGCCAAAGAAGUUGGUUGUCUUUCUUACUCAUCAUCACCAUGACCAUGUAGAUGGUUUAUCAGCUGUCCAACAGUGCAACCCUGAUGCUGUCUUAUUAGCACAUGAAAAUACCUUUCGUCGCAUUGGAAAAGACGACUGGUCACUUGGCUAUACUUCAAUUUCUGGAGGUGAAGACAUUUGCAUUGGGGGUCAGCGAUUGAAUGUUGUUUUUUCUCCGGGACACACAGAUGGCCAUAUGGCGCUGCUUCAUGUCAGUACUCAUUCCUUGAUUGUCGGUGAUCAUUGUGUGGGUCAAGGAAGUGCUCUCUUGGACGUUACAUCUGGUGGAAAUAUGACAGAGUAUUUCAAAUCAACUUACAAAUUUAUGGAGCUGUCUCCACAUGCUUUGAUCCCAAUGCAUGGGAGGGUUAACCUAUGGCCAAAGCACAUGCUUUGUGGAUAUCUAAAGAACCGUAGAAGUAGAGAAACUGCCAUAGUAAAAGCCAUAGAAAAUGGAGCAGAAACACUGUUUGACAUAGUGGCAAAUGUAUAUUCUGAGGUUGAUCGACGAGUGUGGGGUUAUGCCGCAUCAAAUGUCAGACUUCAUGUGGAUCAUCUGGCCCAGCAAGAUAAGUUGCCAAAGGGUUUUUCCUUAGAAACUUUCAACUCCAGUGUCGAUACAUUCGCUGACAACUUGGGUAAAUUGUAGUUCCAUUGAGGAAUAGCUUCUCAUUUGGCACAUUCUCCAGCUACCUUACUUUAGGAAUUUUCCAUCCAGAAGUUCCAGAAAACAUGUGGGCUGCGGUUCUUAUCUCGCUGGGUUUGCGCAAUACUUACCAAUAGCUUCAUGUCAAACUAUCACAAGUUAAGGACUUCAAAGUUACUUGUAGUUAGUGCUGUGGCUGUCUUUGCUUUGUUUUACUCUGUUAAAAACGCUUAGCAAUUAGUUCCAAUUUGAUUUACAGCAUAAUUUAAGACAUUAAAGAAGACUAAGCCAUACAUUAAUAUCCUAAUAAAUGUGGUGCGAAUGAAAAAUAUGAACCUGUUGUAAUAAAGUACUUUCUUUUGCUUCUUCUUCA